AGAGUUUGAUCAUGGCUCAGGAUGAACGCUAGCGGCAGGCUUAACACAUGCAAGUCGAGGGGUAUAGUAGCAAUACUAGAGACCGGCGCACGGGUGCGUAACGCGUAUGCAAUCUACCUUUUACAGAGGGAUAGCCCAGAGAAAUUUGGAUUAAUACCUCAUAGCAUAGCAGCUUCGCAUGAAGUCACUAUUAAAGCUCCAACGGUAAAAGAUGAGCAUGCGUCCUAUUAGCUAGAUGGUAAGGUAACGGCUUACCAUGGCUACGAUAGGUAGGGGUCCUGAGAGGGAGAUCCCCCACACUGGUACUGAGACACGGACCAGACUCCUACGGGAGGCAGCAGUGAGGAAUAUUGGACAAUGGGGCGCAAGCCUGAUCCAGCCCAUGCCGCGUGCAGGAAGACGCAUCUUAUGGUGUGUAAACUGCUUUUGUACGGGAAGAAACACUCCCUCGUGAGGGAGCUUGGACGGUACCGUAAGAAUAAGGAUCGGCUAACUCCGUGCCAGCAGCCGCGGUAAUACGGAGGAUCCAAGCGUUAUCCCGGAAUCCUUGGGUUUUAAAGGGUCC
rnacentral:rRNA from 1 species